GGGAGUUUGAUGUUCUGCAGUAGCUGUGCCUGUAUCUCUGGAAAGGGGGCCGAUCGCCUAAACGGUUUUUACCCCUUGUGUGCAAAACGGUCCGUUACAAUUGGUGGCAAGCGGCGGGAUCGUUCCCACAGACUACAGGACAGCUACAGGCGACACCAUUCCUUGGAUUUACAAUUUGAGGGCAACGCAUGUCUGAGUACAGCGACCCUGACAGCAACAGCAUGGAACCAGCAGUGUCAUACG